AGAGAAAGAAAAGUGGCUUCAAUAAAUGGUGCGGGGAAAACUGGACAGACAUAUGCAAAAGAAUGAAAGUAGACCACCUUCUUUCACCAUACA